CGAAAAUCGGGUCUGACGAGAUUCGUGCAAAAAUUGGGAAAAAUCAAGAGAUGGAGAUAAAGAUGGAUCUGCGAAGAUCUCCUAUGCUGAAAACUUUGUUGAAGAUUCGAGGGCGAAUCUUUCUUGGCCUGCGAGAGCUGAUGCAGCGCAGAUACAAGAUUCGAGGACGAAUCUUUUCUUGGCCGGCGAGACCUGAUGCAGCGUA
rnacentral:lncRNA from 1 species